rnacentral:rRNA from 1 species
UACGUAGGGACCAAGCGUUGUUCGGAUUUACUGGGCGUAAAGGGCGCGUAGGCGGCGUGACAAGUCACUUGUGAAAUCUCUGAGCUUAACUCAGAACGGCCAAGUGAAACUGUUGUGCUAGAGUGCAGAAGGGGCAAUCGGAAUUCUUGGUGUAGCGGUGAAAUGCGUAGAUAUCAAGAGGAACACCGGAGGUGAAGACGGGUUGCUGGGCUGACACUGACGCUGAGGCGCGAAAGCCAGGGGAGCAAACGGG